GGGAGGCAAGCCGGCACUGGUGCGACGCGGCCCGACAGAGGCAGAAGUCAGAAAGCAGCGUGCCUAUGUGUGUGGCAAGAUUGGGCACUGGAAGUGAGAAGAAAAAUGGCAAGAAGUUAAGCUGAGCAGGCUACUUAAGCUUUGGCUUUCUCAACAUAUCAAUAAUUAGCAUCAUCAAUUAUGAAUAGCAGUAAUCUCAGAAACCCUGAAGAUGGCUUCAUUAGGAAAAGGCAGGUUACUCUGUGCUGUCUUUGGCCUCUACCCAACAUAUGGUACUACCCAAGUCUUCAAGCUCAGAGUUCAGAGGGGGAUGGAACAGUUAUGGAAGAGAAAGCAAUGGCCAAGCCAGGGACCAGGAUGUAGGAAACCUAAAAGCAGAUGGAGCCAAGCAGAGCCUUGCCAAGUGUUUUCUUUCCCCAAACUCCUCAAACGUAAAACUUUCUGAUUCUAAGUGACCAAGAUAUCUAGCUUCUUCAGUCUGGGACUUAAACUUCCACAAAAGGAUGGUGACAUGGCUCAGCAGGUAGAGGCAUGACUUGCCAAGUCAAAUGAUCAGAGCUCAGAAAGAACCCACAUGGUUGAAUCAACUCCCCGCACUUAUCCUCUGAUCUCCACAAGUCUGCACCCAUACACACAAUAAGCCGAAUUUAAAGAUACAAAACAAUAAAUGACUUCCACCAAAAA
rnacentral:lncRNA from 1 species